rnacentral:SRP_RNA from 1 species
GCUGGGCAUGGUGGUGCAUGCCUGUAAUCCCAGCUACUUGGGAGGCUGAGGCAGGAGAAUCACUUGAACCCAGGAGGCAGAGGUUGCAGUGAGCCAAGAUCAUGCCACUGCACUCCAGCCUGGGCAACAGAGUGAGACUCUGUCUCAA